rnacentral:rRNA from 1 species
CUGGCUCAGAACGAACGCUGGCGGCGUGCUUAACACAUGCAAGUCGAACGCGAAAGGGACUUCGGUCCUGAGUAAAGUGGCGCACGGGUGAGUAACGCGUAGAUAACCUGUCUUCAUGUCUGGAAUAAUACGCCAAAGGGGUACUAAUACCGGAUAUUCUUGCUUUUCAUAAGUUAUGCAAGCAAAGGUGGCCUCUGCAUAUGCUACUGCAUGAAGAGGGGUCUGCGUACCAUUAGCUAGUAGGUGGGGUAAUGGCCUACCUAGGCGACGAUGGUUAGCGGGUCUGAGAGGAUGAUCCGCCACACUGGCACCGGAACACGGGCCAGACUCCUACGGGAGGCAGCAGUGAGGAAUAUUGCGCAAUGGGGGAAACCCUGACGCAGCGACGCCGCGUGAGUGAGGAAGGCCUUCGGGUCGUAAAGCUCUGUCAAGAGGAAAGAAGUGUACAAUGGCUAAUACCUGUUGUAUUUGACGGUACCUCUAAAGGAAGCACCGGCUAACUCCGUGCCAGCCGCCGC